rnacentral:rRNA from 1 species
AGAUUGAACGCUGGCGGCAUGCUUUACACAUGCAAGUCGAACGGCAGCGCGGGGCAACCUGGCGGCGAGUGGCGAACGGGUGAGUAAUAUAUCGGAACGUACCCAAGAGUGGGGGAUAACGUAGCGAAAGUUACGCUAAUACCGCAUACGAUCCAAGGAUGAAAGCAGGGGACCGCAAGGCCUUGUGCUCCUGGAGCGGCCGAUAUCUGAUUAGCUAGUUGGUAGGGUAAAGGCCUACCAAGGCUACGAUCAGUAGCUGGUCUGAGAGGACGACCAGCCACACUGGAACUGAGACACGGUCCAGACUCCUACGGGAGGCAGCAGUGGGGAAUUUGGACAAUGGGCGCAAGCCUGAUCCAGCAAUGCCGCGUGAGUGAAGAAGGCCUUCGGUGUAAAGCUCUUUGUCAGGAAGAAACGGUGGAGCUAAUAUACUCCCGCUAAUGACGGUACCUAGAAGAAUAAGACAACCGGCUAACUACGUGCCAGCAGACCGACGUUAACG